UACGAAGGGGGCUAGCGUUGCUCGGAAUUACUGGGCGUAAAGGGCGCGUAGGCGGAUAGUUUAGUCAGAGGUGAAAGCCCAGGGCUCAACCUUGGAAUUGCCUUUGAUACUGGCUGUCUUGAGUACGGGAGAGGUGAGUGGAACUCCGAGUGUAGAGGUGAAAUUCGUAGAUAUUCGGAAGAACACCAGUGGCGAAGGCGACUCACUGGCCCGGUACUGACGCUGAGGCGCGAAAGCGUGGGGAGUAAACAGG
rnacentral:rRNA from 1 species